GGAUGGGUCUGCGGCCGAUUAGGUAGUUGGUCAGGUAAUGGCUUACCAAGCCAUUGAUCGGUACGGGUUGUGAGAGCAAGAGCCCGGAGAUGGAACCUGAGACAAGGUUCCAGGCCCUACGGGGUGCAGCAGGCGCGAAACCUCCGCAAUGUGAGAAAUCGCGACGGGGGGAUCCCAAGUGCCAUUCUGAACGGGAUGGCUUUUCAUUAGUGUAAAGAGCUUUUGGAAUAAGGGCUGGGCAAGACCGGUGCCAGCCGCCGCGGUAACACCGGCAGCUCUAGUGGUAGCAGUUUUUAUUGGGCCUAAAGCGUCCGUAGCCGGUUUAAUAAGUCUCUGGUGAAAUCCUGUAGCUUAACUGUGGGAAUUGCUGGAGAUACUAUUAGACUUGAGACCGGGAGAGGUUAGAGGUACUCCCAGGGUAGAGGUGAAAUUCUGUAAUCCUGGGAGGACCGCCUGUUGCGAAGGCGUCUAACUGGAACGGUUCUGACGGUGAGGGACGAAAGUUAGGGGCGCGAACCGGAUUAGAUACCCGGGUAGUCCUAACUGUAAACGAUGCGGACUUGGUGUUGGGGUGGCUUUGAGCUGCUCCAGUGCCGAAGGGAAGCUGUUAAGUCCGCCGCCUGGGAAGUACGGUCGCAAGACUGAAACUUAA
rnacentral:rRNA from 1 species